UACGUAGGUGGCAAGCGUUGUCCGGAUUUACUGGGCGUAAAGAGCGCGCAGGCGGCUGGUCAAGUCCGAUGUGAAAUCUCCCGGCUCAACUGGGAAACUGCAUCGGAAACUGAUCGGCUUGAAGGUGGGAGAGGGUAGUGGAAUUCCCGGUGUAGUGGUGAAAUGCGUAGAUAUUGGGAAGAACACCGGUGGCGAAGGCGGCGACCUGGUCCUUGACUGACGCUGAGGUGACGAAAGCGUGGGGGAGCAAACAGG
rnacentral:rRNA from 1 species